CAGCUUUUAUAAACCUGUAGGUUUAUGUAUCUUGCAAAACCUGGGACAUUUUCAGCCAUUGAUUUUUCAAGUUCCCUCUCAGCCCUGUCUUCUCUCUCUUUUUCUUUCAAGACGCCAAUGACAUGAAGGAUCUAGAGGACCAGGAGUAACAAGGAGCAAGAAUUAUCAUCUUGAAGAUGACCAACUGUAGAAGUACCCCUGUUAUUUCCUAUAGAAGAAAGACAUCCCCCGAAUGAAGGAUGAGAAGCAUAAACCGCUUUCACUUCUCAAAUGUCAAUUCCAGAAAUAAAUGAGCCAUCACAAGCAGAGUUCCUUGCAAGGCUGAGCCCAGGCACACCUGUCAAGGGGAUGUUUCCGGUGGCACUUUCAGCUUUCUCCAGCCUUGCCACACCUGGUGGGCUCUGCUCUCUGCUCCACACAGGCACUCUACUGUUCCUUCUAUCAACUCCUUCUUUCAGGAAAAGAGCUGGAUGUUAUCUUUACUGGGACCAAGGCUGGGUCACAGCUGACAGCUUGAAGUUUCCUACUUAAUAGGUUUCUUUAAAGACUAAAAAUGGCUGAAAGCCAUAACUAGGUGAACGCCUGCUGGCUGAGGUCAAGCAUUAGCUGGUAGGUAAAGGGGGACAUUAUUCAGGCAGGAAAAUAUUGCCAGUGUCCCUGAAAUUCCUACACAGAGCUGCUGACCGGGCCCUUCAUAAGGAUAUGGAUGGACAAGUAAGCAUCUUCCACGAGCACACACCUGC
rnacentral:lncRNA from 1 species